rfam:Enterobacter sp. 638, complete genome.
AACAACGUUCACACUCCGUAUUUUCCUAAAAAAACCCGCAGUAAUUAACGGGGAAAUCAGGCUUUUCGGAUUAAACUCAUAAUAGAAAUUUGCGUCAGGUAACGGACAACCGGAAUUAUCCGAUAAAAAAUGCCAGCAUUUCGCCGGCAUGUAUUACGGAA